CAGAGUUCGUGCCCUUACGGGUAGAUCUCCCACCCUAUGUUAUCAUUACCUUUGUUGCUUUGGCGGGCCGCCCGGCCUUGGUCAGGCUACCGGCUCCGGCUAGUAAGCGCCCGCCAGAGGACCCCCAAACACUGAAUGUUAGUGUCGUCUGAGUACUAUAUAAUAGUUA
rnacentral:misc_RNA from 1 species